UGCAUGUUUAGUUCAGAAGGUGUUCAGGCUGUUUAUAGGUUUUUAAUAAUUCUCUUGUUGUAAUUAGCUAUUGUUUUUAUAGUAACAACUUCCACAGGGACUCGUUAUGUGUGUAAAUGUUCUGGAUCUUUCUACGAGGAGGAUUUUUCAGAAGAAGUCUCCAGUGUCAUUGCUUUGCAGAUUUUCUGACAGAGGAGAUCUUCAGGGUUUGGAGGUUAGGGUCAGAGCGCAGGACCAGCUAUGGCAGACCGCCCCUGAAGCAGAGAGGGUUAAGUGUCUUGUUCAAGGACCCAACAGAAUGGUCAAAGGCUGCUGGAUCUGCCAAUCUCCCGCUGUGGCUCCAGGAUGUCCCGGUAUUUGGAUACCAUGAGGACAGAAAUGAAGUAAACUACAGCCAGAGCCAGGAACUGAGCCUGUUUACUGUCAUCCUGCACACACACACAGUUACCAUACAUCAGACCUAUUCACAGAAAGACACAUAUUAAUGGUUAAUGGUACAUAAAGUCAAUAAUUAGUGUAAACAAAUUGAAUAAAUUUAGCCCUAUUCACUGCUAGAAUGCAUAACUCAUUUUGGCUGCACUACAUUAACAUGCAAUUAUUAACACCAUGUUGUCCUGACUGAAUAGAUGUUGGUGGUCCUCAGGUGAGACGGAAAUGUCUCCAAGCAGACCUUUUAUAGACGCGACUUUCAGGAAAUAUUACAAAAAUUUGUUCCGACUAAAAACCACAAGGCCAAGCUUUAAUGCUCAAACAUUUAAAAACGGCUGUUAUUCAGUGAACUGAUAUCUCAAUACGUACCCCAUAAAUCCCCCCCACACACACAGACACACAGCUUCAGUGAUGCAUAAACACAAGAUCGAAUCUAUAUAAAGAACAGAUGCAGACACCAAACCCUGACAUCCCUUUCUCACUCUCUAGCUGUCCAUCAUUUCCACAUGCACAUCAAUCAUGCACACACAAACAUCUCACCACAUCUCUGAAGACGACAGCUCUCAGACGGUUGAUGUCCACGUCCUGCAGCAAUCUGUCAGGGUCCUUGAUAGGUGAGAGGUUACG